rnacentral:rRNA from 1 species
UACGUAGGUGGCAAGCGUUGUCCGGAUUUACUGGGCGUAAAGAGCGCGCAGGCGGUCGUUCAAGUCGCGUGUGAAAGCCCCCGGCUCAACUGGGGAGGGUCACGCGAUACUGAUCGACUCGAAGGCAGGAGAGGGAAGUGGAAUUCCCGGUGUAGCGGUGGAAUGCGCAGAUAUCAGGAGGAACACCGAUGGCGAAGGCAGCUCGCUGGGACGGUACUGACGCUGAGGCGCGAAAGCGUGGGGAGCGAACAGG